rnacentral:rRNA from 1 species
GACGAACGCUGGCGGCGUGCUUAACACAUGCAAGUCGAACGACGAGCGACGGGCUCUUGCUUCUGUCACUCUUAGUGGCGGACGGGGGAGUAACGCGUAAACAACCUGCCCUUCAGAGGGGGACAACGGUAGGAAACGACUGCUAAUACCGCAUACGUUCUAACCUCGGCAUCGAGGAUAGAUGAAAGGUUGCCUCUACAUUUAAGCUAGCACUGAGGGGGGUGAGUGCGUUUGCUUAGCUAGUUGGUGGGGUUACGGCCAUCCGAGGCGAUGAUCAGUAGCCCGCCUGGGUGGAUGGACGGCCCAAAUGGGACGUAGACACGGGCCAGACCUCCUCGGGAGGCCGCAGUGGGGAAUCUUUCGGCAAUGACGGAAGUCUGAAGGAACCACCCCGCCGGAGUGAUGGAUGGUUUCGGGUUGUUAAGCCCUGUUAAUCGGGACGAAAGGACUUCUUGCGAAUCUAUGGACGUAUUGACGGUACCGGAACAGAAAGCCACGGCUAACUACGUG